AUGAACAGGAAGUUGUGUCCAGACCAGGAAAGUGAAGGAAAAAGUGGUACACUUCAAACCACUACACAGAUGUCUACUCAGCAACCUGCUAGUAGCCUAAGUGAAGCAGCCGCAUUACUCAACAGUAUAUUAGCCUCAGCAGAGACCAUCAGAACUUUGUCAAAUGCGACAGUCGUGGGGCAGCAACCUGUUGCAAGUACCAGUGUGGACGGACUGGAUAGUCACUUAACAUCCCUCUUUCCCUCACGUCAGCGUAGCAGCUUGCCCAUGCCAGCGACAUCUACAGUCAGGAGAGAAUGUGCACCUGCACCACGUUAUCAAACUCGGCAAUGCUUCGGCAGCUGGACAUCAGGCACCAGAAGAAAAAGAGCUAUGGCCCAGCAGCAUGACCAUUUCAACAAAGAUGUUAUACUACUUCCAGCUCCAUCAUGGGGAGUAGUGUGCAAACAAGGUUCAAAAUUAUGGUUACACAAACAUGGGCACAUCCUCAGUGCUUUUCAAUUCCAGAAGACCUGGGACAACCAAACUGUCGUGAAACACAUCAAGGAAAGCUUUGGUGAACGCAUUCCAGAGGAUGUCAGCCUCGAGUUUCUAAUGGCUUGUGGCAAUAAGCUGGUGUCUCCAAAGCUCCAAGAUGGUCAGGAGCUGAAUGGGAUGCUGAUCCUAAAGGUUUUUAAAACCAAAGCCCUCUAUGUAAGGCCAUCAAGGACACUUUUAAGUGAAUCAGAUGAAGACAAAGAUCCUUCUUACAUCAGCUCCAAAUCAGCAUUAAGCAGUUGUGCAACUGAUAAGGACAGUGACAAUGAUUGUUUUGAAGUUGAUAGUUCAAAAAUCCAACAAGACAUGAGCAGCCAAAUCACUACAAGGUUAAGAAGUCAUGUUAAAGGUGAUAACCCUGGCACUAGCAGUGAUGAAGAAGAUGAUACUGGGACCAACUGUAUUGGAAGGAGUGUUGGUAAAAGGCGACGAGCAAAGCAAGGAAGUGAUGGGAACAGCAUUUGUGAUGAAGGCUACAUGGCAAGAAGUGAUGACAAACCUAGCACAAGCAGUCACAGCAGAGAUUUCAAUGCAAGAAGUGAAGACAUCCCUGCCAUGAGUGUUAAUGAUGAAGAUUAUUCUUCAUAUUUAACUCUCGUGGCAUCGCUUUCUGGCGAUUCUUCAGAUGAUGAGGAUUUAAAUCAAGCUAUAAUUGCGAGCUUGGAGAAUCAGAUUGCAGAAAAAGUCCCUGUUCAAGAGAUACUGCUGGAACUAUCAAGCAAAAUUAGCACAAAACAGCAGUGCAAAUUUAACAUAAAUCGCUCUGCUGUGUGGGAGGGAGCCUUGCGUGUUUUCAGAGGCUAUCUUAUGAUCCCAACUUGA
rnacentral:lncRNA from 1 species